GAUGAAGAACGUAGCGAAAUGCGAUAAGUAAUGUGAAUUGCAGAAUUCAGUGAAUCAUCGAAUCUUUGAACGCACAUAGCGCCCGCCAGUAUUCUGGCGGGCAUGCCUGUUCGAGCGUCAUUUCAACCAUCAAGCCCCCGGCUUGUGUUGGGGACCUGCGGCUGCCGCAGGCCCUGAAAACCAGUGGCGGGCUCGCUAGUCACUCCGAGCGUAGUAAUACAUCUCGCUCAGGGCGUGCUGCGGGUUCCGGCCGUUAAAAAGCCUUAUUUACCCAAGGUUGACCUCGGAUCAGGUAGGAAGACCCGCUGAACUUAAGCAUAUCAAUAAGCGGAGGA
rnacentral:misc_RNA from 1 species